rnacentral:rRNA from 1 species
UACAGAGGGUGCAAGCGUUAUUCGGAAUUACUGGGCGUAAAGCGCGCGUAGGCGGAUUAUUAAGUCAGUUGUGAAAGCCCUGGGCUCAACCUAGGAACUGCAUCUGAUACUGGUAAUCUAGAGUUUAGGAGAGGGAAGUGGAAUUCCAGGUGUAGCAGUGAAAUGCGUAGAUAUCUGGAGGAACAUCAGUGGCGAAGGCGGCUCUCUGGUCUGUAACUGACGCUGAGGCGCGAAAGCGUGGGGAGCAAACAGG